rnacentral:rRNA from 1 species
UGGGGAAUAUUGCACAAUGGGCGCAAGCCUGAUGCAGCCAUGCCGCGUGUAUGAAGAAGGCCUUCGGGUUGUAAAGUACUUUCAGCGGGGAGGAAGGUGUUGCGGUUAAUAACCGCAGCAAUUGACGUUACCCGCAGAAGAAGCACCGGCUAACUCCGUGCCAGCAGCCGCGGUAAUACGGAGGGUGCAAGCGUUAAUCGGAAUUACUGGGCGUAAAGCGCACGCAGGCGGUCUGUUAAGUCAGAUGUGAAAUCCCCGGGCUUAACCUGGGAACUGCAUUUGAAACUGGCAGGCUUGAGUCUUGUAGAGGGGGGUAGAAUUCCAGGUGUAGCGGUGAAAUGCGUAGAGAUCUGGAGGAAUACCGGUGGCGAAGGCGGCCCCCUGGACAAAGACUGACGCUCAGGUGCGAAAGCGUGGGGAGCAAACAGG